GGGCCGGUAGCUCAGCCCGGAAGAGCGCCCGGUUGGCAUCCGGGAGGUCCCGGGUUCAAAUCCCGGCCGGUCCA
rnacentral:tRNA from 2 species